UGCAAGUGCUGCUACGGCGACCAUUUUCCCGCAAUGCUCGCAAGCUCCUAUAGCUUCCCUUCUUCCCCCGUACCUCUCACCAGCGGUGUCUUCGGUAUGUGAAAACCCAAUUCUUCAACCCUACAGGAUCCAACAGGCAAUCACAGCUGGCAUCUUACCUUUAUCACCCUUGUUCCUCCAACAAUCAUCAGCCCUAUUACAUCAGUUACCUUUGGUGCAUUUAUUGGCACAAAACAUCAGGGCACAACAACUACAACAACUUGUGCUAGCAAACCUUGCUGCCUACUCUCAGCAACAGCAGUUUCUUCCAUUCAACCAACUAGCUGCAUUGAACUCUGCUUCUUAUUUGCAACAACAACAACUACCAUUCAGCCAGCUACCUGCUGCCUACCCCCAGCAAUUUCUUCCAUUCAACCAACUGGCAGCAUUGAACUCUCCUGCUUAUUUACAGCAGCAACAACUACUACCAUUCAGCCAGCUAGCUGGUGUGAGCCCUGCUACCUUCUUGAUACAACCACAGUUGUUGCCGUUCUACCAGCACGCUGCGCCUAACGCUGGCACCCUCUUACAACUGCAACAAUUGCUGCCAUUCAACCAACUUGCUUUGACAAACCCAGCAGCGUUCUACCAACAACCCAUCAUUGGUGGUGCCCUCUUUUAGAUUUCUUAUGAGUUAUAGUUCAAUAAUAAAGUUUUUUGUCUGAUGUUUGUGGCUUCCCAGAAAUAAGAAAGUACAUUUCUAGAUUCUUAUGUGCUUCUAGUCUCCAAAUGUGGUUGAUAGUUAUUUUGCUCUAAGAUCGACAGUAAUGAAGUAUAAAUCAUCGUUGUGGUGUGCUACUCGGUUAAUUGAGCAUUAACACACACAAACAUGACGAGGAUGGUAUAAUCUCCAAAAAUAUGUACUUUGUUAGGUGGGACCCUAUAGCCUUGCAUAAUGUGCUAUGUUAGGCAUGCCUGGAAACGUGUGACGCAUAUGUUUUGUGAACCUGUUGAUAUUAUAUGUGCUUUUAUAUUACCAUAUUUUAUUAAAAUACUAAUAUUUAUUACUAGUAAGAUAUAACAUUCUAUCUAGCUUAAAAACUAACCAUAAAUAUUCCAUAAUAACUAGAUUUACCAAACUAAUAUACUAAAUAUACAUAAUAAAUACAAAAUUAACAAGACAAUAAUCAAUAUUUAUGAGCUUAAUAUAUUUAGACAUUAUGGUUGGUCGACCAUAAUCAUGCUAACUUUUCGUACUUGCUUGAUUGUAAAUAUGCUUAGAAUAAUGCCUCUUUGUUCUACAUGGCAAAUAGGGACCAUUAUGGUGUAACACCCUGGGAACCACAAACACCCCGAAAUGCUACUAAACUACACAACUAACCUUCAUAUAUAAAAUUUCGACAGCAUCUCCUUUGAAAAUUUGCAUAAACGUGGAAGCAACAGAGUAUAAACAGAUAUCAUGAUAAGGAAACAUACUAGACAUUAAUAAUCUGCUAGAAAUGGGAAGAUAACCAUAACGACAUAAACUGAAUUAACUAGUGUGCACAACUUGUUUAAAACAAACAUCAUUGACAAGAAGUUUCUAAUUAAAUCAUGGCUGUGCCUGGGUAGCGUUAUUAUGAGAGUGAAGGUGGACGUGAUGCUACUUCCCUCAUUCCCAACAUGAAUCAAGUACCUGCAUUGAGUAAUGCAAGAGUGAGAUGAAAACAUCUCAGCAAGUAAAUUGUUUUGACGAGAUAUUUAAAGCAAAAAAAUUUGAUUUACUCAACAUUUUAAAGGGAUCACAAUUGAGAUCAGAAAUACUUGUAGAUAUAGAACUCAAUAGUCCCAAAAUAACCAGUGCCAUCUCAUUUCCUCAAACAACCACAAUAGGUUGUAUAACACUUCCCUGCGUCAUCAAUACCUGCAAAUAUCACUUCAAUGUAUGCAUAGGAAUGCAAUGUUUAAGUCCUCUGCAUUCAUACUUCUUAGAGUAUAAAACCACACCAUCUGCAAAUAUCACUUCAAUGAAUGCAUAUGAAUGCAAUGCAUAUGUCCUCUGCCUUCAUACCUCUAAGGGUAUGAAGCCGAAUCGUACCCCUCCUCGGGCAACGUACGAUGCUAAGUUGUACCGUUACGGUCGGACCAUAGGUCACGACAAAACUUCAUAUGCAAGUGAAUCAUGACAUGUAUAUGGCUUGCUGCAUUUAUCAAUAUACUUCACUUCCUUCAUAUACAAUACAAACCUCAAAUAAUACUUCGUUUACCUUCAGAUACAAUACAAACCUCAAAUAAUACUUCAUUCACCUUCAGGGGUGUUUAUUAAUCUCGUGGGUCAUACUCGAAUCAUCAUCAUCAUCAAUGAUGAUUAAGCAUCAGUAUAAUACAAUCAAGUAAAGCAUCACCAUAGAGUUCAAUUAUGAAAGAAUUCGAUGAUUCUGAAUAUUAGAGUGUAUGCGAUGAAACAACAACGUCAAAACGGUAGCAACCACCGCUACAUUCACUUGCCUUCAUCGAAGAAGAAAAACAUACUAGGCAUGAUUCAGAGUGUAGACACCUGCUGUGGGGCUUAAAACUUAGUACAAAUAUUCCACAAACAUUUGCCAACAAUUAACAAAUCGCUCCUACACUUGAAACCAAGACCCGGUGGAAUGACUCCCACCCUGAACCACAUGCCAAACAAUAGUAGUGUUGUUUGUUAAUUUUGUAUCUUUAAAAUUAUAACAGUGGUGAUAUCAAACAAAUACUCCAGAAGUUUCUACACAAAAUACUCUACAACUUUGGUAUUCAAUGGAUAAUUAAAUUUUGCCAUCUAUAAGUUCUAAAACAUCUGAUAAGAUAACUGACUGAAUUUGUUUCAGACAACAGCAUAGUUAACUUCAAAAUUCGAUAUCUCCCAAACUCCUCAACCAAAAAUUAUGAAAUUAUUCUGACAGUAAGAACUUUUUUCCCUCUACAAAAGUAUCUAUAGUUGGAAGAGCCAAUUCGGCCAUUUACUAGAUGAAACCUACCAGUUAACAGACCCGCUCAUUUUUGUCAGGCAAACAAGAACCCUUAUAUAUCAAAGAGUAGUGGAUUUGAAUUUGUCUAAUAUGAAGUUUAUGGGCUUGGAUCAUUUAAAGUAUUUUAUAAUUCUGAAAGACAAGAUUAAACUAACUAUGUAUGAUCCUUUAGCACUGUACAGAUGGUCGAUGGGACAGUUACAUGGUUUAUAUAGAUGGACCUAUCUAUAUUCCUUCAGUGGUUGAGAAAAAGGUAAAGGUGUGUCACACUCACGUGUGCGCCGCCUCUACCGAGAUGAGGCAUGGCGUUGCAAGGUGAGGCAUGGCAUGGUGCAGCACGAUCGUAUACAUGGUCGUGGCACAGUGUAGCACUGUUGUGGAUAGAUAGAUAAACUUUUGUUGUAGUUAGAGUGCAUGAGUUUUUGAAUGCAACACAAGAAUUUUCACAAUUUAACUUAAUUAAGAAGUUAUAUCUUGAUGACACAGAGUUACCUGACCAUUGAUCUCACAUGCCCUUUUAGCUCUCUCGUUCUCUAGACUCACCCUGACUAUUUAGGUCUCCUGACUCGCCAAUAUAAACACCAUCCUAUCAUUUGCUCUCGAAUACUUCUGUGUCACAACUCAACUGUCAGAUGAGUACUCCAUUACAGCACUGAGCAGGCCUCCGAAAUGAAUAUCUACUCAGAUGAAGGACGACAAUCGUGUUCUAGGGAAAUAUCGGUGACACAACUCCUUACUUCCUCCGCUUCUUCCUAGUGUUUUUUGUUGUGAUUGAGUCGACACAGCAACAACACUGCACUAUUACAACCAGUACGACUAUAUUAACUAGCAAUGUCUUCCUUAUAUGUUACUAUUUAUUUUGCUCAUAUUCAUUAUGUUUAAAUCACAUAGGCACCUUUUUGUUGGCAUCAAAAAAUUAGUAUCAACUUUCUAGAUUAAAGUGAAACUAAAAGUACCUAAAUUUCUAUCGGUGGGGAUCGAGUGAUUCUUUAAACCAAUUAUUACGCAAGUUAACCACACUAAAAUUAACAUUGGUGAACCGUGCCAUGAUUUUUUCUAAUGGAAAAUAGCCAAACCAAGCAACACAUAUGUGGCUAUCGUUACACAUGUGUAAAGGUAUUGCAUCACACCAUUGUCACCCAUGUAUUUGGACAAUACCGAGAGGAAAAACCACUUAUUUAUUGUAUUUUAUCAAGUUUGUCUUGCUUACGUAUAAAUUAUAACCCAACAAAGUAAUCACUAAAUGUCAAAACCAACUAGAUACCAUGUCAUCUCUACCUUAUCUUACUAAUAUUCUUUUUGCAAAAUCCAAAAUUAAUCUUGCACAAGCACAAGGACUGAGAUGUGUAUAAAUAUCUCUUAAAUUAGUAGCUAAUAUAUCACACAUAUUAUUGAGACCAACUAGCAACAUAGAAAGCACAAUAGUGUACCAACAAUGGCAGCUAAAAUAUUUUGCCUCCUUAUGCUCCUUGGUCUUUCUGCAAGUGCUGCUACGGCGACCAUUUUCCCACAAUGCUCACAAGCUCCUAUAGCUUCCCUUCUUCCCCCGUACCUCUCACCAACGGUGUCUUCGGUAUGUGAAAACCCAAUUCUUCAACCCUACAGGAUCCAACAGGCAAUCGCAGCUGGCAUCUUACCUUUAUCACCCUUGUUCCUCCAACAAUCAUCAGCCCUAUUACAGCAGUUACCUUUGGUGCAUUUAUUGGCACAAAACAUCAGGGCACAACAACUACAACAACUUGUGCUAGCAAACCUUGCUGCCUACUCUCAGCAACAGCAGUUUCUUCCAUUCAACCAACUAGCUGCAUUGAACUCUGCUUCUUAUUUGCAACAACAACAACUACCAUUCAGCCAGCUAUCUGCUGCCUACCCCCAGCAAUUUCUUCCAUUCAACCAACUGACAGCAUUGAACUCUCCUGCUUAUUUACAGCAGCAACAACUACUACCAUUCAGCCAGCUAGCUGGUGUGAGCCCUGCUACCUUCUUGACACAACCACAGUUGUUGCCGUUCUACCAGCACGCUGCGCCUAACGCUGGCACCCUCUUACAACUGCAACAAUUGCUGCCAUUCAACCAACUUGCUUUGACAAACCCAGCAGCAUUCUACCAACAACCCAUCAUUGGUGGUGCCCUCUUUUAGAUUUCUUAUGAGUUAUAGUUCAAUAAUAAAGUUUUUUGUCUGAUGUUUGUGGCUUCCCAGAAAUAAGAAAGUACAUUUCUAGAUUCUUAUGUGCUUCUAGUCUCCAAAUGUGGUUGAUAGUUAUUUUGCUCUAAGAUCAACAGUAAUGAAGUAUAAAUCAUCGUUGUGGUGUGCUACUCGGUUAAUUGAGCAUUAACACACACAAACAUGACGAGGAUGGUAUAAUCUCCAAAAAUGUGUACUUUGUUAGGUGGGACCCUAUAGCCUUGAUUAAUGUGCUAUGUUAGGCAUGCCUGGAAACGUGUGACGCAUAUGUUUUGUGAACCUGUUGAUAUUAUAUGUGCUUUUAUAUUACCAUAUUUUAUUAAAAUACUAAUAUUUAUUACUAGUAAGAUAUAACAUUCUAUCUAGCUUAAAAACUAACCAUAAAUAUUCCAUAAUAACUAGAUUUACCAAACUAAUAUACUAAAUAUACAUAAUAAAUACAAAAUUAACAAGACAAUAAUCAAUAUUUAUGAGCUUAAUAUAUUUAGACAUUAUGGUUGGUCGACGAUAAUCAUGCUAACUUUUCGUAAUUGCUUGAUUGUAAAUAUGCUUAGAAUAAUGCCUCUUUGUUCUACAUGGCAAAUAGGGACCAUUAUGGUGUAACACCCUGGGAACCACAAACACCCCGAAAUGCUACUAAACUACACAACUAACCUUCAUAUAUAAAAUUUCGACAGCAUCUCCUUUGAAAAUUUGCAUAGACGUGGAAGCAACAGAGUAUAAACAGAUAUCAUGAUAAGAAAACAUACUAGACAUUAAUAAUCUGCUAGAAAUGGGAAGAUAACCAUAACGACAUAAACUGAAUUAACUAGUGUGCACAACUUGUUAAAAACAAACAUCGUUGACAAGAAGUUUCUAAUUAAAUCAUGGUUGUGCCUGGGCAGCGUUAUUAUGAGAGUGAAGGUGGACGUGAUGCUACUUCCCUCAUUCCCAACAUGAAUCAAGUACCUGCAUUGAGCAAUGCAAGAGUGAGAUGAAAACAUCUCAGCAAGUAAAUUGUUUUGACGAGAUAUUUAAACCAAAAAAAUUUGAUUUACUCAACAUUUUAAAGGGAUCACAAUUGAGAUCAGAAAUACUUGUAGAUAUAGAACUCAAUAGUCCCAAAAUAACCAGUGCCAUCUCAUUUCCUCAAACAACCACAAUAGGUUGUAUAACACUUCCCUGCGUCAUCAAUACCUGCAAAUAUCACUUCAAUGUAUGCAUAGGAAUGCAAUGUUUAAGUCCUCUGCAUUCAUACUUCUUAGAGUAUAAAACCACACCAUCUGCAAAUAUCACUUCAAUGAAUGCAUAUGAAUGCAAUGCAUAUGUCCUCUGCCUUCAUACCUCUAAGGGUAUGAAGCCGAAUCGUACCCCUCCUCGGGCAACGUACGAUGCUAAGUUGUACCGGUACGGUCGGACCAUAGGUCACGACAAAACUUCAUAUGCAAGUGAAUCAUGACAUGUAUAUGGCUUGCUGCAUUUAUCAAUAUACUUCACUUCCUUCAUAUACAAUACAAACCUCAAAUAAUACUUCGUUUACCUUCAGAUACAAUACAAACCUCAAAUAAUACUUCAUUCACCUUCAGGGGUGUUUAUUAAUCUCGUGGGUCAUACUCGAAUCAUCAUCAUCAUCAAUGAUGAUUAAGCAUCAGUAUAAUACAAUCAAGUAAAGCAUCACCAUAGAGUUCAAUUAUGAAAGAAUUCGAUGAUUCUGAAUAUUAGAGUGUAUGCGAUGAAACAACAACGUCAAAACGGUAGCAACCACCGCUACAUUCAUUUGCCUUCAUCGAAGAAGAAAAAUGUACUAGGCAUGAUUCAGAGUGUAGACACCUGCUGUGGGGCUUAAAACUUAGUACAAAUAUUCCACAAACAUUUGCCAACAAUUAACAAAUCGCUCCUACACUUGAAACCAAGACCCGGUGGAAUGACUCCCACCCUGAACCACAUGCCAAACAAUAGUAGUGCUGUUUGUUAAUUUUGUAUCUUUAAAAUUAUAACAGUGGUGAUAUCAAACAAAUACUCUAGAAGUUUCUACACAAAAUACUCUACAACUUCGGUAUUCAAUGGAUAAUUAAAUUUUGCCAUCUAUAAGUUCUAAAACAUCUGAUAAGAUAACUGACUGAAUUUGUUUCAGACAGCAGCAUAGUUAACUUCAAAAUUCGAUAUCUCCCAAACUCCUCAACCAAAAAUUAUGAAAUUAUGCUGACAGUAAGAACUUUUUGUCCCUCUACAAAAGUAUCUAUAGUUGGAAGAGCCAAUUCGGCCAUUUACUAGAUGAAACCUACCAGUUAACAGACCCGCUCAUUUUUGUCAGGCAAACAAGAACCCUUAUAUAUCAAAGAGUAGUGGAUUUGAAUUUGUCUAAUAUGAAGUUUAUGGGCUUGGAUCAUUUAAAGUAUUUUAUAAUUCUGAAAGACAAGAUUAAACUAACUAUGUAUGAUCCUUUAGCACCGUACAGAUGGUCGAUGGGACAGUUACAUGGUUUAUAUAGAUGGACCUAUCUAUAUUCCUUCAGUGGUUGAGAAAAAGGUAAAGGUGUGUCACACUCACGUGUGCGCCGCCUCUGCCGAGAUGAGGCAUGGCGUUGCAAGGUGAGGCAUGGCAUGGUGCAGCACGAUCGCAGUCAUGGUCGUGGCACAGUGUAGCACUGUUGUGGAUAGAUAGAUAAACUAUUGUUGUAGUUAGAGUGCAUGAGUUUUUGAAUGCAACACUAGGAUUUUCACAAUUUAACUUAAUUAAGAAGUUAUAUCUUGAUGACACAGAGUUACCUGACCAUUGAUCUCACAUGCCCUUUUAGCUCUCUUGUUCUCUAGACUCACCCUGACUAUUGAGGUCUCUUGACUCGCCAAUAUAAACACCAUCCUAUCAUUUGCUCUCGAAUACUUUUGUGUCACAACUCAACUGUCAGAUGAGUACUCCAUUACAGCACUGAGCAGGCCUCCGAAAUGAAUAUCUACUCAGAUGAAGGACGACAAUCGUGUUCUAGGGAAAUAUCAGUGACACAACUCCUUACUUCCUCUGCUUCUUCCUAGUGUUUUUUGUUGUGAUUGAGUCGACACAGCAACAACACUGCACUAUUACAACCAGUACGACUAUAUUAACUAGCAAUGUCUUCCUUAUAUGUUACUAUUUAUUUUGCUCAUAUUCAUUAUGUUUAAAUCACAUAGGCACCUUUUUGUUGGCAUCAAAAAAUUAGUAUCAACUUUCUAGAUUAAAGUGAAACUAAAAGUACCUAAAUUUCUAUCGGUGGGGAUCGAGUGAUUCUUUAAACCGAUUAUUACACAAGUGAACCACACUAAAAUUAACAUUGGUGAAUCGUGCCAUGAUUUUUUCUAGUGGAAAAUAGCCAAACCAAGCAACACAUAUGUGGCUAUCGUUACACAUGUGUAAAGGUAUUGCAUCACACCAUUGUCACCCAUGUAUUUGGACAAUACCGAGAGGAAAAACCACUUAUUUAUUGUAUUUUAUCAAGUUUGUCUUGCUUACGUAUAAAUUAUAACCCAACAAAGUAAUCACUAAAUGUCAAAACCAACUAGAUACCAUGUCAUCUCUACCUUAUCUUACUAAUAUUCUUUUUGCAAAAUCCAAAAUUAAUCUUGCACAAGCACAAGGACUGAGAUGUGUAUAAAUAUCUCUUAAAUUAGUAGCUAAUAUAUCACACAUAUUAUUGAGACCAACUAGCAACAUAGAAAGCACAAUAGUGUACCAACAAUGGCAGCCAAAAUAUUUUGCCUCCUUAUGCUCCUUGGUCUUUCUGCAAGUGCUGCUACGGCGACCAUUUUCCCACAAUGCUCACAAGCUCCUAUAGCUUCCCUUCUUCCCCCGUACCUCUCACCAGCGGUGUCUUCGGUAUGUGAAAACCCAAUUCUUCAACCCUAUAGGAUCCAACAGGCAAUCGCAGCUGGCAUCUUACCUUUAUCACCCUUGUUCCUCCAACAAUCAUCAGCCCUAUUACAGCAGUUACCUUUGGUGCAUUUAUUGGCACAAAACAUCAGGGCACAACAACUACAACAACUUGUGCUAGCAAACCUUGCUGCCUACUCUCAGCAACAACAGUUUCUUCCAUUCAACCAACUAGCUGCAUUGAACUCUGCUUCUUAUUUGCAACAACAACAACUACCAUUCAGCCAGCUAUCUGCUGCCUACCCCCAGCAAUUUCUUCCAUUCAACCAACUGACAGCUUUGAACUCUCCUGCUUAUUUACAGCAGCAACAACUACUACCAUUCAGCCAGCUAGCUGGUGUGAGCCCUGCUACCUUCUUGACACAACCACAAUUGUUGCCGUUCUACCAGCACGCUGCGCCUAACGCUGGCACCCUCUUACAACUGCAACAAUUGCUGCCAUUCAACCAACUUGCUUUGACAAACCCAACAGCAUUCUACCAACAACCCAUCAUUGGUGGUGCCCUCUUUUAGAUUUCUUAUGAGUUAUAGUUCAAUAAUAAAGUUUUUUGUCUGAUGUUUGUGGCUUCCCAGAAAUAAGAAAGUACAUUUCUAGAUUCUUAUGUGCUUCUAGUCUCCAAAUGUGGUUGAUAGUUAUUUUGCUCUAAGAUUAGCAGUAAUGAAGUAUAAAUCAUCGUUGUGGUGUGCUACUCGGUUAAUUGAGCAUUAACACACACAAACAUGACGAGGAUGGUAUAAUCUCCAAAAAUGUGUACUUUGUUAGGUGGGACCCUAUAGCCUUGCAGAAUGUGCUACGUUAGGCAUGCCAAUGGAAACGUGUGACACAUACGUUUUGUGAAUCUGUUGAUAUUAUAUGUGCUUUUAUAUUACCAUAUUUUAUUAAAAUACUAAUAUUUAUUACUAGUAAGAUAUAACAUUCUAUCUAGCUUAAAAACUAACCAUAAAUAUUCCAUAAUAACUAGAUUUACCAAACUAAUAUACUAAAUAUACAUAAUAAAUAUAAAAUUAACAAGACAAUAAUUAAUAUUUAUGAGCUUAAUUUAUUUAGACAUUAUGGUUGGUCGACGAUAAUCAUGCUAACUUUCCGUAAUUGCUUGAUUGUAAAUAUGCUUAGAAUAAUGCCUCUUUGUUCUACAUGGCAAAUAGGGACCAUUAUGGUGUAACACCCCGGGAUCCACAAACACCCCGAAAUGCUACUAAACUACACAACUAACCUUCAUAUAUAAAAUUUCGACAGCAUCUCCUUUGAAAAUUUGCAUAAACGUGGAAGCAACAGAGUAUAAACAGAUAUCAUGAUAAGGAAACAUACUAGACAUUAAUAAUCUGCUAGAAAUGGGAAGAUAACCAUAACGACAUAAACUGAAUUAACUAGUGUGCACAACUUGUUAAAAACAAACAUCGUUGACAAGAAGUUUCUAAUUAAAUCAUGGUUGUGCCUGGGCAGCGUUAUUAUGAGAGUGAAGGUGGACGUGAUGCUACUUCCCUCAUUCCCAACAUGAAUCAAGUACCUGCAUUGAGUAAUGCAAGAGUGAGAUGAAAACAUCUCAGCAAGUAAAUUGUUUUGACGAGAUAUUUAAACCAAAAAAAUUGAUUUAAUCAACAUUUUAAAGGGAUCACAAUUGAGAUCAGAAAUACUUGUAGAUAUAGAACUCAAUAGUCCCAAAAUAACCAAUGCCAUCUCAUUUCCUCAAACAACCACAAUAGGUUGUAUAACACUUCCCUGCGUCAUCAAUACCUGCAAAUAUCACUUCAAUGUAUGCAUAGGAAUGCAAUGUUUAAGUCCUCUGCAUUCAUACUUCUUAGAGUAUAAAACCACACCAUCUGCAAAUAUCACUUCAAUGAAUGCAUAUGAAUGCAAUGCAUAUGUCCUCUGCCUUCAUACCUCUAAGGGUAUGAAGCCGCAUCGUACCCCUCCUCGGGCAACGUACGAUGCUAAGUUGUACCGGUACGGUCGGACCAUAGGUCACGACAAAACUUCAGAUGCAAGUGAAUCAUGACAUGUAUAUGGCAUGCUGCAUUUAUCAAUAUACUUCACUUCCUUCAUAUACAAUACAAACCUAAAAUAAUACUUCGUUUACCUUCAGAUACAAUACAAACCUCAAAUAAUACUUCAUUCACCUUCAGGGGUGUUUAUUAAUCUCGUGGGUCAUACUCAAAUCAUCAUCAUCAUCAAUGAUGUUUAAGCAUCAGUAUAAUACAAUCAAGUAAAGCAUCACCAUAGAGUUCAAUUAUGAAAGAAUUCGAUGAUUCUGAAUAUUAGAGUGUAUGCGAUGAAACAACAAAGUCAAAACGGUAGCAACCACCUCUACAUUCACUUGCCUUCAUCGAAGAAGAAAAAGGUACUAGGCAUGAUUCGGAGUGUAGACACCUGCUGUGGGGCUUAAAACUUAGUACAAAUAUUCCAUAAACAUUUGCCAACAAUUAACAAAUCGCUCCUACACUUGAAACCAAGACCCGGUGGAAUGACUCCCACCCUGAACCACAUGCCAAACAACAAUAGUGUUGUUUGUUAAUUUCUAUCUUUAAAAUUAUAACAGUGGUGAUAUCAAACAAAUACUCUAUACGUUUCUACACAAAAUACUCUACAACUUCGGUAUUCAAUGGAUAAUUAAAUUUUGCCAUCUAUAAGUUCUAAAACAUCUGACAAGAUAACUGACUGAAUCUGUUUCAGACAACAGCAUAGUUAACUUCAAAAUUCGAUAUCUCCCUAACUCCUCAACAAAAAAUUAUGAAAUUAUGCUGACAGUAAGAACUUUUAUCCCUCUACAAAAGUCUCCAUAGUUGAAAGAGCCAAUUCGGCCAUUUACUAGAUGAAACCUACCAGUUAACGGACCCGCUCAUUUUUGUCAAGCAAACAAGAACCCUUAUAUAUCAAAGAGUAGUGGAUUUGAAUUUGUCUAAUAUGAAGUUUACGGGCUUGGCUCAUUUAAAGUAUUUAAUAAUUCUGAAAGACAAGAUUAAACUAACUAUGUAUGAUCCUUUAGCACCGUACAGAUGGUCGAUGGGACAGUUACAUGGUUUAUAUAGAUGGACCUAUCUAUAUUCCUUCAGUGGUUGAGAAAAAAGUAAAGGUGUGUCACACUCACGUGUGCGCCGCCUCCGCCGAGACGAGGCAUGGCGUUGCAAGGUGAGGCAUGGCAUGGUGUAGCACGAUAGCAGUCAUGGUCGUGGCACAGUGUAGCACUGUUGUGGAUAGAUAGGUAAACUAUUGUUGUAGUUAGAGUGCAUGAGUUUUUGAAUGCAACACUAGAAUUUUCACAAUUUAACUUAAUUAAGAAGUUAUAUCUUGAUGACACAGAGUUACCUGACCAUUGAUCUCACAUGCCCUUUUAGCUCUCUCGUUCUCUAGACUCACCCUGACUAUUUAAGUCUCUUGACUCGCCAAUAUAAACACCAUCCUAUCAUUUGCUCUAGAAUACUUCUGUGUCACAACUCAACUGUCAGAUGAGUACUCCAUUACAGCACUUACGUACACGAGUUCUAUGAGAGCAGGCCUCCAAAAUGAAUAUCUACUUAGAUGAAGGACGACAAUCGUGUUCUAGGGAAAUAUCAGCGACACAACUCCUUACUUCCUUCGCUUCUUCCUAGUGUUUUUUGUUGUGAUUGAGUCGACACAGCAACAACACUGCACUAUUACAACCAGUACGACUAUAUCAACUAGCAAUGUCUUCCUUAUAUGUUACUAUUUAUUUUGCACAUAUUCAUUAUGUUUAAAUCACAUAGGCACCUUUCUAUUGGCAUCAAAAAAUUAGUAUCAACUUUCUAGAUUAAAAUGAAACUAAAAGUACAUAAAUUUCUAUCGGUGGGGAUCGAGUGAUUCUUUAAACCGAUUAUUACACAAGUUAACCACACUAAAAUUAACAUUGGUGAAUCGUGCCAUGAUUUUUUUUCUAGUGGAAAAUAGCCAAACCAAGCAACACAUAUGUGGCUAUCGUUACACAUGUGUAAAGGUAUUGCAUCACACUAUUGUCACCCAUGUAUUUGGACAAUACCGAGAGGAAAAACCACUUAUUUAUUGUAUUUUAUCAAGUUUGUCUUGCUUACGUAUAAAAUUAUAACCCAACAAAGUAAUCACUAAACGUCAAAACCAACUAGAUAUCAUGUCAUCUCUACCUUAUCUUACUAAUAUUCUUUUUGCAAAAUCCAAAAUUAAUCUUGCACAAGCACAAGGACUGAGAUGUGUAUAAAUAUCUCUUAAAUUAGUAGCUAAUAUAUCGCACAUAUUAUUUAGACCAACUAGCAACAUAGAAAGCACAAUAGUGUACCAACAAUGGCAGCCAAAAUAUUUUGCCUCCUUAUGCUCCUUGGUAUUUCUGCAAGUGCUGCUACGGCGACCAUUUUCCCGCAAUGCUCACAAGCUCCUAUAGCUUCCCUUCUUCCCCCGUACCUCUCACCAGCGGUGUCUUCGGUAUGUGAAAACCCAAUUCUUCAACCCUACAGGAUCCAACAGGCAAUCGCAGCUGGCAUCUUACCUUUAUCACCCUUGUUCCUCCAACAAUCAUCAGCCCUAUUACAGCAGUUACCUUUGGUGCAUUUAUUGGCACAAAACAUCAGGGCACAACAACUACAACAACUUGUGCUAGCAAACCUUGCUGCCUACUCUCAGCAACAGCAGUUUCUUCCAUUCAACCAACUAGCUGCAUUGAACUCUGCUUCUUAUUUGCAACAACAACAACUACCAUUCAGCCAGCUACCUGUUGCCUACCCCCAGCAAUUUCUUCCAUUCAACCAACUGGCAGCAUUGAACUCUCCUGCUUAUUUACAGCAGCAACAACUACUACCAUUCAGCCAGCUAGCUGGUGUGAGCCCUGCUACCUUCUUGACACAACCACAGUUGUUGCCGUUCUACCAGCACGCUGCGCCUAACGCUGGCACCCUCUUACAACUGCAACAAUUGCUGCCAUUCAACCAACUUGCUUUGACAAACCUAGCAGUGUUCUACCAACAACCCAUCAUUGGUGGUGCCCUCUUUUAGAUUUCUUAUGAGUUAUAGUUCAAUAAUAAAGUUUUUUGUCUGAUGUUUGUGGCUUCCCAGAAAUAAGAAAGUACAUUUCUAGAUUCUUAUGUGCUUCUAGUCUCCAAAUGUGGUUGAUAGUUAUUUUGCUCUAAGAUCAGCAGUACAACAACAACAACAACAACAACAACAACAACAACAAAGCCUUUUUGUCCCAAGCACGUUGGGGUAGGCUAGAGAUGAAACCCCGUAUGAAAACCUCAGAGCUCAACCCCCAAAGAACAGAAAAGGGAAACAAAGGCAAAGGAGAACCGAAAACAACGAAACGGGGAAACACAUAAAAGAGAUAAAACCCACAAGGACCAGCAAGAUCUAAAAUGGACACAAGAAAAGGUCAAACGAUUAAGGAGGAAAAGCGAAACUAUCAAUCAGGGUUCUGGCACGUGAAUUGCACACUUCCACCCCUUCCUAUCUGCGGCGAGCUCUUUGUCAAUAUUCCACUCCUUCAGGUCUCUCUUCACAGCCUCUGUCCACGUCAAAGUUGGUCGACCUCUACCUCUCUUCACAUUUUCGGGACGCCUAAUUAUUCCGAUAUGCACUGGUGCCUCUUCAGGUCUUCGUUGGAUAUGUCCAAACCAUCUCAAGCGAUGUUGCAUAAGCUUCUCCUCAAUUGGCGCCACUCCUACUCUCUCUCGUAUAUCAUCAUUCCGGACUCGAUCUCUCCUUGUGUGGCCACAUAUCCAGCGCAACAUACGCAUCUCUGCCACACUUAGUUGUUGGACAUGUCGUCUUUUAGUGGGCCAACAUUCUGCUCCAUACAACAUAGCCGGCCGGAUUGCUGUCCUGUAGAAUUUGCCUUUUAGUUUGCGUGGCACCCGGUGGUCGCAUAAGACACCCGCAGCUUGUCGCCACUUCAACCAUCCGGCUUUAAUUCUAUGACUGACAUCCUCAUCGAUGUCUCCCUCCUUUUGAAGCAUUGAUCCUAAGUAACGAAAAGUGUCUUUCUUGGGUACCACUUGCCCAUCAAGACUAACAUCGCCAUCCUCAUACCCCAUGGCACUGAAAUCACACUUCAUAUACUCUGUUUUAGACCUACUAAGCCUAAAACCUUUUGCUUCCAGCGUCUGCCUCCACAAUUCCAACUUUUGAGAAACACCACUCCUACUCUCCUCAAUAAGUACCACAUCAUCGGCAAAAAGCAUACACCACGGUAAAACUCCUUGUAUGUCCCUUGUGACCUCAUCUAUCACCAAAGCGAAAAGAUAAGGGCUCAAAGCCGACCCUUGAUGUAGUCCUAUGUUAAUUGGAAAGUCAUCGGUGUCUCCAUCACUUGUUCGGACACUUGUCACAACAUUAGUGUACAUAUCUUUAAUAAGAUUAAUGUACUUUGUUGCUACUUUGUGUUUUUCCAAGGCCCACCACAUUACACUCCUAGGUACUUUGUCAUAAGCCUUCUCCAAGUCUAUGAAGACCAUAUGCAGGUCUUUCUUUUGUUCUCUGAAUCUCUCCAUAAGUUGUCUUAGUAAGAAAAUGGCCUCCAUAGUUGAUCUCCCGGGCAUGAAACCAAACUGAUUUUGGGUCACGCUCGUCAUCUUUCGCAGGCGGUGUUCAAUGACUCUCUCCCAUAGCUUCAUUGUAUGGCUCAUGAGCUUAAUUCCACGGUAAUUAGUACAACUUUGAACAUCUCCUUUGUUCUUGAAGAUUGGUACUAAUGUACUCCGCCGCCACUCGUCGGGCAUUCUGUUUGCCCGAAAGAUGGUGUUGAAAAGCUUAGUCAGCCAUACUAUCGCUAUGUCUCCAAGACAUCUCCAUACCUCGAUAGGGAUACCAUCAGGGCCCAUCGCCUUUCCUACCUUCAUCCUUUUUAGCGCCUCCUUAACUUCAUAUUCUUGUAUCCUUCGUACAAAACCCCUGUUGUUGUCAUCGAAUGGUUCGUCCAAUUCUAUUGUAGCACUCUCAUUCCCUCCAUUGAACAAUUUGUUGAAGUACUCCUUCCAUCUGUUCUUGAUCUCUUCACUCUUCACUAAUAGUUGGUUUGCUUCGUCCUUGAUGCAUUUGACUUGGUUGACAUCCCUUGUCUUCCUUUCACGAAUCUUGGCCAUCCUAUAGAUAUCCUUUUCUCCCUGCUUUGUGUCCAGCCGUUGAUAAAGGUCGUCAUAGGCUUGACCCCGGGCUCUACUAACCGCUCGCUUUGCAGACUUCUUCGCUAUCCUGUACUUCUCUAUGUUUUCUGCACACUUGUCAUGAUGUAAGCGUUUGUAGCAAUCUUUCUUCUCCUUGAUAGCCUUUUGGACAUCUUCGUUCCACCACCAAGUGUCUUUAACUUCCCUUCUGUUCCCUUGACUCAACCCAAACUCUUCUGAAGCUAUCUUUCGGAUGCAUGUCGCCAUCUUCCUCCACAUGAUAUUUGCGUCUUCCUCUCCUGCCCAAGGGCCCUCCUCGAUAACUCUCUUCUUGAAAGUUUGGGCCACAUCCCCUUUAAGCUUCCACCACUUUGUUCUAGUGACCUUGUUAUGCUUAUUUCGUUGUAAACGAAUCUUAAAACGGAAGUCAGCAACGACAAGCUUAUGUUGGGUUACCACACACUCUCCAGGUAUAACCUUGCAAUCUAAGCAGGCAUGCCUGUCCUCUUUUCUCAAGAGGACGAAAUCAAUCUGGCUAGUGUGUUGGCCACUACUGAAGGUCACCAGGUGGGAUUGCCUCUUCUUAAAGAAAGUGUUUGCUAUAAACAUGUCAUAGGCUAGGGCAAAGUUCAGGAUUUCCUCUCCUUCUUGAUUCCUAGUCCCAAAGCCGAAGCCUCCAUGUACACCCUCGAAACUGGUGCUAGAUGUACCCACAUGGCCAUUGAGAUCUCCUCCUAUGAAGAGCUUCUCGCCAACUGGCACACUACUAACCAUGUCCUCUAGGCCUUCCCAGAACUCUCUCUUUGAGUUCUCAUUAAGGCCUACUUGAGGAGCAUACGCGCUGAUAACAUUGAGAACCAAGUCUCCAAUGACCAGCUUGACUAGGAUGAUUCUAUCUCCUACCCUCUUAACAUCUACUACCCCAUCUUUGAGGCUCUUGUCGAUCAAGACGCCUACUCCAUUCUUGUUUGUUGCAGUCCCCGUGUACCACAACUUGAAACCUGUACCUUUCACUUCCUUCGCCUUCUGUCCCUUCCACUUGGUCUCUUGAACGCAUAAAAUAUUUACCCGUCUCCUCACCGCAACGUCAACUAUUUCUCGUAACUUACCUGUUAAGGAACCUACGUUCCAACUGCCUACACGGACCCUAGUUGGCUCGACUAGCUUCCUUACCCUUCGCACCCGCCGAGGAAGAUGCAAAGACCCUUGCUCAUUUUUCACUACACCCGGGCGCCGAUGUAGCGCGCCACUAAGGAUGCGACGACCCGAUCCUUGCUCACUUAUCACCGGCUCCAGAUCAAGAGACAGCGCGUCACUUGAGGGGUGACGACCCGGCCCUUGCUCAUUUAACACCAUACCCGGGUUCCGAUAUGGCGCGUCGCUAAGAGGGUUACGCCCCAACGGUUUUCUUUGUGGUUUCAUCUCCAUAAGAUUUGGCUGGUUUUUUACGUUGGUUUGCCGGACCUAACACAACCCUCCUCCUUUACCGGGCUUGGGACCGGCUAUGUUGAAACGACUCAAGGAAGUCUUCCAAUCAACAUAGGCGGAGUUUAAGAUCAGCAGUAAUGAAGUAUAAAUCAUCGUUGUGGUGUGCUACUCGGUUAAUUGAGCAUUAACACACACAAACAUGACGAGGAUGGUAUAAUCUCCCAAAAUGUGUACUUUGUUAGGUGGGACCCUAUAGCCUUGCAGAAUGUGCUACGUUAGGCAUGCCGAUGGAAACGUGUGACGCAUACGUUUUGUGAACCUGUUGAUAUUAUAUGUGCUUUUAUAUUACCAUAUUUUAUUAAAACACUAAUAUUUAUUACUAGUAAGAUAUAACAUUCUAUCUAGCUUAAAAACUAACCAUAAAUAUUCCAUAAUAACUAGAUUUACCAAACUAAUAUACUAAAUAUACAUAAUAAAUACAAAAUUAACAAGACAAUAAUCAAUAUUUAUGAGCUUAAUAUAUUUAGACAUUAUGGUUGGUCGACGAUAAUCAUGCUAACUUUCCGUAAUUGCUUGAUUGUAAAUAUGCUUAGACUAAUGCCUCUUUGUUCUACAUGGCAAAUAGGGACCACUCUAGGAGACUAGGAUGUUGCUUGAGAUGAAAAUGUCAGAAUUGGUGUAGACUAAUUUCUAUCGGCCGCUGACUUCACUAUUGUAACCAUUAUAUCUUGGGUAAAUUAUAUACGAUUAUCCAGCCAAAGGGCCCAGAUGAUAAAAAACAAUUUUUAAUUGCUAUUUUAGGACAAAUGAAUUAGCAUGGUUCGAAGGAUUACGACCUUCCCCCCAUGACCUUUGUCAUACUGCUUUAGUCUAAUCGACAAAACCAAGAUUAGUUAUCAUCGAAGAAGUUCAUAAGCGAAGUUGUGACGAUGAAAGGAACAUGGUGGUAAUUGGACGAACGACGACACCUUUGUCUAAGAAUGGCAUCUAGAAGAAAUCUCAGACAAAAUAAGACAUGAAUGGCUUGUCAGUACAGCGCAAAUACUGAAACAUGCGCCCUUGAAUAUGAAACAUUUAUAUGUAAGAGGAAGGGAUAAAAAAACUAAUUACUCGUGCCUAAUGAUUUUAUUGGGAAUUUUAAGGCGAGACUUAUGGCAAAGGGUUAUACCAAAAAUAGGGGAGAGAUUAUUUCGAUACUUAUUCACUUGUUUCCCUUCAAAUGGCCAUACAUGUGUUACUUUUUUUGGCUGCCUCGCAUGGUCUUAUCGUUCAUCAGAUGAAUGUUAAGACUGCUUUCCCAAAUGGAGAGCUUAAGGAACAGAUCUACAUUGACUAGCCUAGUGGUUUUAUAUCAAAUGGUAAAGAGGAAAAGGUGUUUAAAAUAAUUGUUUGGUUUAAAACAAGCACCAAAGCACAUGAGAAAAUCGAUAAAGUUCUGACUUUGGCUAAAUUUGUUGUAAAUGAAGUUGAUAAAUGUGUCCAUUACCAGUUUGACAGGGGCGAAGGUAUGACCUUUUUAUAUGUGGACAAAAUAUUAACCUUUUGUAACGAUGUUAAUAUGAUAGAAGAAGUAAAGUAAUUUUUGUCUAGUAACUUAGAAAUAAACAAUCUGGGAGAGGCUAAUGUUGUUCUUAACAAAGAGAUGUUGAGAGAAGGAGGAAAUAGAGGGUUACUCUUGUGCAAUCCUAUUAGGUUGAAAAGUCGCUGAGUCGCUUUGGAUAUAGUGAUUACACGUCUGGUCCAACAACUUAUGACCCAAGUGUGUUAUUAAGGAAAAAUCAUAUAAUUGCAUAUGAUCAAUUGAGAUAUUGUCAAAUCAUGGUCUUCUCAUAUAUUUGGCAAGCCCAACGAUGUCUCAUAUCUGAUUUGUUAUGAGCAAACUCAGUUGCCUUGUCUCCAAUCUAGGGGAGGAUCAUGACAUGCCCUAGAGAGGGUAUUGCGCUUUCUCAAAGGGAUAUGAGUAAUGUCAUUUACUAUACUAGGCACCUAAGAGUACCAGAGUGUUAUAGUCAUGCAAAUAGGAUAUCUGAUGUUGAUUAGAUUUAUGCCACAAGUAGACUUGUGUGCUUCCUUGGAGGUGUGAUUGUUUCAUGGAAGUCUUGUAAGUAGACCAUCUUAACAAGGUCAACAAUAGAAGUAGAACUCACAACAUUAUAUACUACCAAAGUUGAAGUUGAUUGGCUCCGUGAACUCCUUACGGAUUUACCAGUAGUUGAAAAACCAAUACUGGUUAUCUCUAUGAGCUACAAUAAUCAAACAUUUGUAAUCGAAGUAAACAGUUCUAAAGUUAACAUGAUGUCUACAAAGCAUGUAAAAAUGGUUGAAACUGUUAAAACACUAAGAAACUCUAGAUUAAUUAUGUUGGACUAUAUCCAUACAUCGAAUUUGGUAUGCCAGUUUACAGAAGAUUUGUCACAUAAUAUGAUUCAAGGUGCAUCGAGGAAUAUGGGCUUGAGACCCACUUAAUGUCAAUCCAUAGUGGUAGCAGUUUCUAUGUGAUUGGAGAUCCCAUAAAGUAGAAUGGUGAAACAAGCUAGAGAAUGACUGAUGGAGAGACUCCUUAAAUAAAAUCUUGAUAAUUUGAGAUGCACAUUUCUCAUUUGAUGUAUUGUAGGCGAACUAAAAUCUUAAUAUGAUUUGAGUGACUUAUCUAAGCAGGGAUGUUAUCUUACAGAACAUCCUAGAAAGAACACACCUAUAUGAGUUUGCAUGUUAGUCAUAGUCUAUCAUGUGUGGUAAUCUUUAUAUACUCAUGAAAGGCUUGAAGUUUGACUUAUAUGCUUCAAACCAAGGGGGUGCUUGUAACAGUCUAGUACAAGAUAAGAACAUUGGUAAAACUCACUUAACGCAAAAUUGUCAAUUUAAGGCAUAGUUCAUUGUUUAGAUGUGAAUGUGUAAUCCCUGUUCUAGAUGGAUGGUCAACUUAACAGCCUCCACCAAAACCCUGAUAUCUCAAAGAGUAGUGGAUUUGAGUUUGUCUAAUAUGUGGUUUAGAUUUUGGUGGGGAAUUUUAAUAUUUUAUGGGCUUGGCCCAUUUAAGGUAUUUAAUACUUUCAAAAGACAAGAUUAAACAUGUGUGAAUAGUGUCAUGAUUUUUUUCUAGUGCAAAAUAGCCCAACAAAUCAACACAUAUGUGGCUAUCAUUACACAUGUGUAAAGGUAAUGCAUCACACCAUUGUCACCCAUGUAUUUAGAAAAUACCAAGAAGAAAAACAACUUGUUUAUUGUAUUUUAUGGAGAUUAUCUUGCUUACAUAUAAUUAUAACCCAACAAAGUGGUCACUAAAUGUCAAAACCAACUAGGUACCAGGUCAUCUCUAGCUUAUCUUGCUAAUGAUAUUUUUGCAAAAUCCAAAAUUAAUCUUGCACAAGCACAAGGACUGAGAUGUGUAUAAAAAUCUCUUAGAUUAGUAGGUAAUCCAUCACACAAAGCGCAAUAGUGUAGCAAAACUGGCAGUCAAAAUAUUUUGCCUCCUUAUGCUCCUUGCUCUUUCUGCAAGUGCUGCUAACGCGACCAAUUUUCUGCAAUGCUCACAAGAUCCAAUUGCUUCCCUUCUUCCCUCAUACCUCUCACCAGCGACAUCUUCAGUAUGUGAAAACCCAAUUCUUCAACCCUAUAGGAUCCAACAGGCAAUCACAGCAAGCAUCUUACCUUUAUCACCCUUGUUCCUCCAACAACCGCCAGCCCUGUUACAACAAUUAC
rnacentral:lncRNA from 1 species